rnacentral:rRNA from 1 species
GACAGGCUUAACACAUGCAAGUCGAGGGGCAGCGGGGGAGUAGCAAUACUCCCGCCGGCGACCGGCGCACGGGUGAGUAACACGUAUGAAACCUGCCCGUAGCAGGGGGAUAAGCGGAAGAAAUUCCGUCUAAUACCGCGUAACAACCCGAGGAGGCAUCUCCUCGGGUUUAAAGGGAGCGAUUCCGGCUACGGAUGGUCAUGCGUCGCAUUAGCUUGUUGGCGGGGUAACGGCCCACCAAGGCGACGAUGCGUAGGGGUUCUGAGAGGAAGGUCCCCCACACUGGUACUGAGACACGGACCAGACUCCUACGGGAGGCAGCAGUGAGGAAUAUUGGUCAAUGGCCGCAGGGCUGAACCAGCCAAGUCGCGUGAGGGAUGACGGUCCUAUGGAUUGUAAACCUCUUUUGUCAGGGAGCAAAGGGCGCCACGUGUGGCGUUUUGCGAGUACCUGAAGAAAAAGCAUCGGCUAACUCCGUGCCAGCAGCCGCGGUAAUACGGAGGAUGCGAGCGUUAUCCGGAUUUAUUGGGUUUAAAGGGUGCGCAGGCGGAAUGUCAAGUCAGCGGUAAGAUUUCGGGGCUCAACCCCGUCGUGCCGUUGAAACUGGCGUUCUUGAGUGAGCGAGAAGUAUGCGGAAUGCGUGGUGUAGCGGUGAAAUGCAUAGAUAUCACGCAGAACUCCGAUUGCGAAGGCAGCAUACCGGCGCUCAACUGACGCUCAUGCACGAAAGCGUGGGUAUCGAACAGGAUUAGAUACCCUGGUAGCCCACGCAGUAAACGAUG